CGGCGGACGGGUGAGUAACACGUGGAUAACCUACCUAUAAGACUGGGAUAACUUCGGGAAACCGGAGCUAAUACCGGAUAAUAUAUUGAACCGCAUGGUUCAAUAGUGAAAGACGGUUUUGCUGUCACUUAUAGAUGGAUCCGCGCUGCAUUAGCUAGUUGGUAAGGUAACGGCUUACCAAGGCAACGAUGCGUAGCCGACCUGAAAGGGUGAUCGGCCACACUGGAACUGAGACACGGUCCAGACUCCUACGGGAGGCAGCAGGG
rnacentral:rRNA from 1 species